CUGGAUGUUACACACAUCUGUGAUCAUACCCAAAAGAGCAUGAAAAAUGAGAAAUAUGUUCAAGGAAUUUAAAAACAGUUGACAUGAAGGUACCGUGAUGUAGAAACACUUACAAAGAAGAAGUUAUCAAAAGCUCGUAAAAUGAAAUGAUGCAAUUGUAGGUAAGGCUUAAGGCUUAAUACUGUGCGUAAAAAAAUUAGAGCAGAAAAUCAGCUGUAAGUAGGUUAUCCAAUAUCUAUGGGCUAGGGCAGAAGGUCUAUGCUAUGCUUUACUUUCUCUCUUAAUGCUUUGAUCUUCAAAAAGCUAGUUAUUCUCUUUCAUAGAAAUAAAGCAAACGAAAGUGGAGAAUCGAAGCAGAAGAGCUGGACAGCGUAUUUGGGCCUUAAUUUCUCACUCUUUUCUGCUUUCUCUCGUUUCUCUCUUCUUUUUUCCCGAUUCUGAAUCUUCAAUCUGAACUAAUUCCCUCUUUAGUCCCAAAAUUAUAAUCAAUAUCCUGACACCCACAUCCCCGCCGGCCGCCAGUCCCCAAAACCAAAAAAAAGAGUGGAGGAUAUCCGAGGAUCCGGAGCUCGCCACCACCGUCACCACAACAACAAGGGAAACCCUUAGCAGGCGCCAGUGCCUUAAUGACUAAACAAAAGAAUGCUCUUCUCCAAUUGUAGCAGCUUCAGAUUUUUUUGCUCUCACUGUCCCUCUUCUAUGCUGCACUCUCUUCCCAAACACAUCAUCAAACGCCGCAUGCUUUCUCUAUCAUCAGCAAACAUGGAGGCAGAAUCAGCUAGUGUGUUGGUGCUUUGUGGGAAAUCCAAUGUAGAGAACGAAUUUGCUCUAUCAUUGAAGAGUAAUAAUGUUUUGAGAUUUCUGGAUAGCAAUCCUGUUUCAAUUUGUCUGCAUUCAGAGAUUAGGAAUCUGCAUUGCGAUUCUGAAGGAUUCCAGGUUGAUCAUUAUAUGGAUGUUCUCUCUACUUCACAAUUUGGAAGAUUCUUAAUGUACUCUCCAAGAUUAGGCUCCACACACGAUGUAGUUUCACACAAUUUUGGUGAGCUGCCAAUUGGUGCAGUCUGUGUUGCAGAUGUGCAGACCAAAGGGAGAGGUCGGUCUAAAAACGUGUGGGAAUCUCCAAAAGGAUGCCUAUUAUUUUCCUUCACUAUACAAAUGGAGGAUGGCAGAGUGGUGCCACUAGUGCAGUAUGUGGUUAGUCUUGCUGUGACUGAGGCAGUUAAAGAUAUUUGCCAGAAAAAGGGCAUACAACAUCUUGAUGUUAAAAUAAAGUGGCCAAAUGACUUGUAUUUAGAUGGCCUUAAAGUUGGAGGCAUUUUGUGCACAUCAACUUAUAAGUCAAACAAGUUUAAUGUCAGUGCUGGAAUAGGCUUGAAUGUCAGCAACGAGAAACCAACUACUUGUUUGAAUGCAACUCUACAAAAAUUGACUCCUGUUGCUCAUGAACUACAACGAGAAGACAUAAUGGCAGCCUUCUUCAAUAAAUUUGAGGAUCUCUACACUGUUUUCAUGGGCCAAGGAUUCCAAUCUCUUGAGCCGCUGUACUAUAAAACGUGGUUGCACAGUGGGCAAAGAGUUAUAGUACAGGACAAAAAUGAUAAUCAGGACCAAGUUGUGGAAAACGUUGUCACAAUUCAGAGAUUCAACCUGGGGAAAGUGGUUUACGGACAAAUUAUGGUGCUGGUGGGCAAUAAUAUCCAGCUGACAUCCUUGAAAAUGGGCAGUUAUGGGCCUUCAAAUUGUUCAUGAAGAUCGUAAAUUGGCAAGAAUAGUGCAUUAAGAUUGUUUAUGGACCUUCAACUUGGAAUCUUUCCAAGAUUCUGAUGCAUUACAACUUAUAUUUUAAAGGGUUUGACACCAUCUGGAUAUUUGUUAGCUAUUUCUGAAGAUGGUCAAACAUGCGAGCUUCACCCUGAUGGCAAUAGUCUUGACUUCUUCAAGGGACUUAUCAGAAGAAAACUUGCAUGAAGAAGAUAGGUUAAUGCUUUUGCUGGUGGAAAAGAAUCAUUUCCUAAUGAUAUACACAUGUAGUUAAUUAAUAAUUAUCCUGUGUCUCUUUACUCAUGAGAUAGACAUAUUGAUACUUAGCCAAUUAAUUGGUUCUUGUUUGUUAAGUACUUUCUGGA